UCGAUAUCUUGAUGCAGGUGUAAAGAGAGAUUCUCUUUAAUUCACUAGUCAAUAGUUUUAUACAUUGUUGAAACAAAAUACAUACGUUCAUUCAUUAAUAAUUUAAACUACGUUGUUCGUUACAUAAUUGUUGGGGUAGGGCCUGUCAGCCGAUCAACGAUAACCGCUGCAAAAAUAAUAACAUCCAAGUCAUUGUUAUACCUAUAUACAUAUCCGUAUAGCCAUUUGAUUUGAUGGCCGUGAAAACAAAUUCCGUGCGUGUGUUAAUAGACAACAUCAGUUUUUUAUGACCAGUGAACUGUUUAAAAUUCCUUCUUCCCGAUAAAAGUAAGAAAUGUUUUAGAAUGAAUGAUUACAUCCCGCACAGUUUUCAACAUCGUAAAGAAAAAUCUGAUUUAACCUGUGAGCCUUGCGAUCCAUGUGAACCAAUGCCCAUUCAUCGAUCACCUGUAGCAAAAUUAUUGAAUGCAAUGAAGGCAAACCUUGCCUUCAAAAUCCAUCAUGCACAAUGUGAUCCUAGAAAUUGGAACUCGUUUAGCAAAUGCAAGACCUUUCCCAAUAAUUGUUGGCAUAGGUCAACAUAUCCUUGGUUUUAAAUAAUUUGUAUUUUUAAUAAAAAAAACAACAACUGUAAA
rnacentral:lncRNA from 1 species